rnacentral:snoRNA from 1 species
AUCCUUCGCUGAUGAGCAGCUUCUGACUUUCGUUCUUCUGAGUUUGGUGAAGCCAGAUGCCAUUCCUGAGAAGGGAA